CCUACGGGAGGCAGCAGUGAGGAAUAUUGGUCAAUGGACGAGAGUCUGAACCAGCCAAGUAGCGUGAAGGAUGACUGCCCUAUGGGUUGUAAACUUCUUUUAUAAAGGAAUAAAACGAGGCACGUGUGCCUUUUUGCAUGUACUUUAUGAAUAAGGAUAGGCUAACUCCGUGCCAGCAGCCGCGGUAAUACGGAGGAUCCGAGCGUUAUCCGGAUUUAGUGGGUUUAAAGGGAGCGUAGAUGGGUUGUUAAGUCAGUUGUGAAAGUUUGCGGCUCAACCGUAAAAUUGCAAUUGAUACUUGCAGUCUUGAGUACAGUUGAGGUAGGCGGAAUUCGUGGUGUAGCGGUGAAAUGCUUAGAUAUCACGAAGAACCCCGAUUGCGAAGGCAGCUUACUAAACUGUGACUGACAUUGAUGCUCGAAAGUGUGGGUAUCAAACAGGAUUAGAUACCCUGGUAGUC
rnacentral:rRNA from 1 species